rnacentral:rRNA from 1 species
AGAGUUCGAUCCUGGCUCAGGAUGAACGCUGGCGGCGCGCCUAACACAUGCAAGUCGAACGGCACCUAUCUUCGGAUAGAAGCGAGUGGCGAACGGCUGAGUAACACGUGGAGAACCUGCCCCCUCCCCCGGGAUAGCCGCCCGAAAGGACGGGUAAUACCGGAUACCCCGGGGUGCCGCAUGGCACCCCGGCUAAAGCCCCGACGGGAGGGGAUGGCUCCGCGGCCCAUCAGGUAGACGGCGGGGUGACGGCCCACCGUGCCGACAACGGGUAGCCGGGUUGAGAGACCGACCGGCCAGAUUGGGACUGAGACACGGCCCAGACUCCUACGGGAGGCAGCAGUGGGGAAUCUUGCGCAAUGGGGGGAACCCUGACGCAGCGACGCCGCGUGCGGGACGGAGGCCUUCGGGUCGUAAACCGCUUUCAGCAGGGAAGAGUCAAGACUGUACCUGCAGAAGAAGCCCCGGCUAACUACGUGCCAGCAGCCGCGGUAAUACGUAGGGGGCGAGCGUUAUCCGGAUUCAUUGGGCGUAAAGCGCGCGUAGGCGGCCCGGCAGGCCGGGGGUCGAAGCGGGGGGCUCAACCCCCCGAAGCCCCCGGAACCUCCGCGGCUUGGGUCCGGUAGGGGAGGGUGGAACACCCGGUGUAGCGGUGGAAUGCGCAGAUAUCGGGUGGAACACCGGUGGCGAAGGCGGCCCUCUGGGCCGAGACCGACGCUGAGGCGCGAAAGCUGGGGGAGCGAACAGGAUUAGAUACCCUGGUAGUCCCAGCCGUAAACGAUGGACGCUAGGUGUGGGGGGACCAUCCCCCCGUGCCGCAGCCAACGCAUUAAGCGUCCCGCCUGGGGAGUACGGCCGCAAGGCUAAAACUCAAAGGAAUUGACGGGGGCCCGCACAAGCAGCGGAGCAUGUGGCUUAAUUCGAAGCAACGCGAAGAACCUUACCAGGGCUUGACAUAUGGGUGAAGCGGGGGAGACCCCGUGGCCGAGAGGAGCCCAUACAGGUGGUGCAUGGCUGUCGUCAGCUCGUGUCGUGAGACUGUCUCUUAUACACAUCUCCGAGCCCACGAGACCCUAAGACAUCUCGU